rnacentral:misc_RNA from 1 species
AGACCAUUCACGCAUGGCGUGGUAUUGGGGCACGUGGUUCCGCGGCCCUCAAAAUCAGUGGCGGCGCCGGUAGGUCCUAAGCGUAGUAAAUCUCCUCGCUAUAGGGUCCUCUCGGUGGCUCGCCAGAACCCCCAACUUCUUAA